UAUGGGCAGAGUAUGGCACACACAGGCAGAGCAGAGUACAAACAGGCAGAGCAGGGCACAUGUAGACAGAGUAGGGCAUACACAGACAGAGCAGGAAACACACAGACAGAUAAGGGCACCAUCAGGCAGAGCAUGGAACACACAGGCAGAGCAGGGCACAUACGGAGCAAAUGGAAGGCAGAACAGCACUAGAGACAGGGAAACCUAUCAGGACAACUCUAAAAUGUACUACAUACAGUGACACAGUGCUGGUGCCCCAUUAGCAUAAAGUGUAAACAGGUCAACAAUGUGGUGUGAACAAUAGAGGUGUCACAAGUGUGAACAAUGCAGGGGGAUCACGGGUGUGAACAAUACAAGGGAUUAGUCUGAAUUUGAGGUUUAAACAAUGCCGGGGCCAGCUAAUCUCUGUAGUGAUACCAUUUAAAAUUUACACGUGGUAAGCAGACACAGCAGGUAGGUGGGGGGCCACACAAGGGAUGGUUGUGGGCCGACAAUUGGACAGCCCUGCUAUAAAUGAUUAGACCAGAGCAAAUGUUACACCUUUUGUUACAUAAGCCCCUUACUGUUUAUCACUGCAGUUCACUGCAAUCAUAAAUACCUGUGUUCCUUGAGCCUUAUAUUUCCUAAAUAAAAAGAGAUUGUCAGUGUGUUUCACUGAAGUGUGACUCAUGCUAAGUAGUGUAUCCUUCGGUAAGAAGCUUUAAAAUGGAUCAGAAAUUUAGAAAGCAACAUUUAAGACCGCAGCUGCUAACUGCAGGAGAAACACCAACAAUAUAACAUAUGAUCUAAAUGAAGAUGAUUCAAUUAACGUACUUACAUGCCGUGUAGUUUUUUGAAAAGAUUGAUGCAACAAACCAACAGAUAUGCUUAAAGUAAUUUAAAUUAAAUUAUUACAAUUAUUCUGAUAUUCUUUACUCAUUAUGCUGGGAAAGGGAGUGGGUUUAUAUAAUGAUACAAAACCAUUUCACCUCCCUUCCGCAAACCCUGCAAAGGCAAUGCAUCCCUUCAUACACCACCACAAUUUAUGGUUUGGUUCUUUUCUAUCCACCCACCAUUUCACUUUUUGUUGCGUGGAUAAUCUAAAAAUAAAGAAAUAAUUAUUGCCCGUGAUCUAUAACUCCUCACCACCAUUGGCCAGAUGUGGGUAUGAGUCCCCUUGGGUUUUGGUGUUAGUGUCUCUUAAAGUACCCAACUUUGUGAGGCUCCUUUGCUGCUAUACCAAUAGUUUUUGUUUCCAUCUAUGCCUUCAAAAGUAUCCUAUAUUUUAAGAUUGGGUGUUAAUUGUAUUCAUUUUUAUUCAGGCUUAAAAUACUUUGCAAUAUGUGCUUUGUUUAGGUUAACAGGCUCUAUUAAAGAAGAAAGCCUGAAAAACAACUGAAGUCUCAUAAAAUGAGUGAAACACUGGAAGAGAAGACUACAUGUAGCUAUUAAAGGAAAACGAUAUCCCAAAAUAAAUACAUAAGCAAGAGAAAGUUAACAGUAUAUUAAGCGACAUAUUAAAUAAUCUUACCAAAUUGGCAUAUACAUAUAAGUAAAUAUUGCACUUUUAGGUCUUUUCGCUUGAUCUCUGUGUUGCCUCAGAGAUCACCUGACGAGAAAUACUGUAGUUUUAACUGUAACAAGAAGAAGUUUGGAAGCCAAAGAUAAAACUUGUAUUUUGUACUUGGCUCUUAUGAACUAACGUACUGUAUGUUUGCUUUGUUCGUGUGCGUAGUAUUCCAAAGGGCGGCUUAUAUUACUUAAAAUGGAAAUUUUCUAUUUAUGAUUACCCAAUGACAUACUACUAAAAAGUAUAUUAUUACUAUUAUUAUUAUUAUUAAAAUAUUUUUUUUACAUGAAGCAGAGUUUUGCAUAUGAGCUGUUUUAUGCAAUCUAUUUUUAUAGCUUUUUAUAAAUGCACAAAGUACAGGCAUUCUUAUUUAGAGCUAGCUGAGCUCUGCAGUGACCUUCAAAUAACAGACUCCCUGUUUACGCGGAAGAUACUUGGAAGAUACUGUAAUGAAACAACACCUUGAGGACAUUUGAGCCAUUUUCCUUUAUAUAUAACAGAAACAGAGGAUAAGCUGAAAGAGGAAGACAGGAGGUAAUUCGUUAUACAGUAUGCUUCCACCUCUAACUAGACAUCAUAUACAUGCAUUAUGUUUAACUUACCUGCAAAUACAAAGUGUUACAUAACUGGGCAAAGUCUUAUGAGUUCUGAGGAUUUUUUUUGCUACCCAUUAAAUGGAUGGUUAAAUGCACAUUGUUAUAUUUGUGGCCUUCAUGGAGAAUAGUAGUGGUCAAAAUAUACAUCCUUCAUUUUCUUAUUGUGUUAUUCCCUUCCUAUGGCAGAUGCUGCUCUUAUUUCAGUAUUCCCAAGUGAUCCCUAACUUAAAGUGCCCCCAUCUGCAACAGGAAUUGUUUUUACUACUAUGUAUCUGCCUGAGAGGCCCAAAAUGCAUGGAAGUACAACCCAAAGCCCCUGUUAAUGUUCGUGGGAAGCAAGUACUUGCUCUAAUCUGGUUAAUGAAAAUCCCACAGGACAAAAGACCAUGAAGCACAGCUGCUUUACCUCACAGACAGCAAAUACAUGAAAUGAUGACUGAAAAUAAAAUUCUAGAAAAACAAUGCAAUGAGGAGUCAGUGAUCUCCAUCAGAAAGCUGGAAAGAUUCAGAAGAAAAACGUAAAUAAUUAAAUAAAUAAUGAAGACCAAAUGAAAAGUAGCAAAUUGUAUAACCUCAAACAGGCCAGUGAUUGGGACAUAAGACAACAGAAUGGCAAAUAUAGCACGGUGCAGAAUGGGAAUGGUAAAUUGUGCUAUCACUGAGCUGUACAUAAGUGUCAUUGGGGCAGAUUUACUAAAGGGCGAGGUGGCUAAAACGAGCGACUUUCGCCAGAAAUCCCAUCCUCAGGGGCAUUGCCAAUUUACUGACUGGUGCAGUCGACAAUUCGCUAGGGAAUGGGACCGUCACUAGUGUUUGUUCGCACUUUAUUGCCAGGCGACUUUUCGCUCUGGCUAGCAGUCGUUAAUUCACAAAUUCAGUAAAGUUUGAAUUUUACUGAACGUUACCAAUUUCACCAGAGUUGACUUCGCUACCUCAGACCAGGCGAACUGAUAAAAUGAAGCUCAAUCUUAUGUCAGUAAUAUCAUAUUUUGUCUGCCGGAAAUGCAUUAAAGUUGUUAAAAUGCUGACGACUUGUCCUUAAAAGUGAAUGUGCCCCUUUGAAUCCACUUUAACUGAAAACAGGUAUUGUUACCAUGUCGUGUAAAUUUUUUGUCUUACUUUUUAUUUUAGAGUACAACCCUCACCAAAUAUAUAAUUGAUAAUGGUGCUCCAGCCAACUUGAGGAUAUGAUCCCUACAGCCAUGAAGUGAGCCGAUUAAUCCCCCGCGGAUGGGUUAAAAUUUACAUUUUUGAUACCAAAACUGAGUGAUAAGUGGUCAGUGGGAAGUCCAAAUUCGUAUCCUUCCAGUCAAACCUUUCCUGACAACGGUAGUGCUCAGACCCGGACUUGCAGCGAGGCCGCAUAGGCCCGCGCCUAGGGCGGCAUAAACUAAGGGGCGACAUGCUGCCCAGCUGCAUUGGUAGUUUGUGAUGUUCUGGAACACUGAACGCGCUAUAGACGCUAAGUGCUCCAGUGCGAAAAGAUGCGAAUGCGCGCAAUUCUACAGGAGGGAGGAGGCGCCGGAGAACACUGGCCUACGGGCACCGUGAGGAGAAAUCCGCUCCUGGGAGCGCUAAAUGCUGUACCACAGGUGCCUAUUUUUACAAUUGGGAAAUUAAUAAUAUAUUGUAAAGCCUAAGGGAGUUAUGUAAUAAAAGGUGCAACAUUAACCAUAGGUCUAAUAAUCUAUAGCAACGAUCAGCAGAUAGCAUUUACUGGUUACCUAUUUCAAAGAAAACAAUUUAUUGGUUGCUAUGUGUUACUUUACCUGAACAAACUUUGUUAAAUUACUCAUGGGGGAUAGUGUUCUUAUUUUUAAAAGACUUUAUGAAUAAUUUCCAGAGCAUAAUUAUUCCUACUGUUGCAAUAAAGGUCAGGGGUGUUUCUGAUGCAUUUCCUGCAAUUUACACAUUUCAGGAAUCAAUCCCUUAAUCAUAAGCAUACCAUGAUAGCCAAACAGCCAUAUUAUAUAAAUACGUGUGUAGUGACCCCUGUUGGGCUCACCAGAAUAUUACAGUUAAAAGCUACAAUUUAUCCACCUCAAUAAAAACAAUAUGUGAAAGUCGAAAUCUGAACAUUCAAUAAAAACUAUUUCUUUGUCCA